GAAAUAUCCCACACCUGGAGGCAGCCGGCACUGUCCCCUGAGACCAGGACGCUGUUGUCACGGUGAUCAGAGCUCAGGGAUAACACACGCUCACCUGGCCGACCCGGGCCGCAGAGCUGUCCUGGGAUCAGGAAGGUGCCUACAGGUUGGCUGGGAGUCUAACACCGUAUUCUGCAGGAGUCCCUUGCACAGAAGAGUAGGAUUUCCUCCAAGACAUUUAUCAAUGGCUCCAGAAAUACAGAGAGCCCCCCUGCGAGGAGACCAGCACGGCUCUGUUUCUCCACUGUCUGUCAGCCGCCCUGCGCUGCAGAAACAGCAGGUGGUCUACAGGGGGCGCCACCCUGAACCAGAGUACACAAACACCACCACCUCUCCAUCGUAGCUCGCUGUGGCAAUGACCCCCAGGGCGGGGCACGGGCACACGGCCAGGAUGUCCGACUUAUGCACGCCCUCGGACUUCCACGCCAUGUCAGCCUUCACGUACACAUCCUACACAGCGAGAU